CCUACGGGAGGCAGCAGUGAGGAAUAUUGGUCAAUGGGCGCGAGCCUGAACCAGCCAAGUCGCGUGAGGGAAGACGGUCCUAUGGAUUGUAAACCUCUUUUGUCGGAGAGCAAAAGACGCCACGCGUGGCGUUCCGAGAGUAACCGAAGAAAAAGCAUCGGCUAACUCCGUGCCAGAAGCAGCGGUAAUACGGAGGAUGCGAGCGUUAUCCGGAUUUAUUGGGUUUAAAGGGUGCGCAGGCGUAAGAUCAAGUCAGAGGUAAAAUUAAGAGGCUCAACCUCUUCGAGCCGUUGAAACUGGUUUUCUUGAGUGUGCGAGAAGUAUGCGGAAUGCGUGGUGUAGCGGUGAAAUGCAUAGAUAUCACGCAGAACUCCGAUUGCGAAGGCAGCAUACCGGCGCCCGACUGACGCUGAGGCACGAAAGCGUGGGGAUCGAACAGGAUUAGAUACCCUUGUAGUC
rnacentral:rRNA from 1 species